rnacentral:misc_RNA from 1 species
AAUUCUCAAACCUCUUAUUUAUUUAUUUAAUGAGAGGAUUUGGAUGUGGAAGCUUUGCGGGCCUCUAACGGGGUCGGCUCUUCUUAAAUGCAUUAGCGAGGACCUUAUCUUUAUUUAUAUGGCCUUGGUGUGAUAAUUAUCUACGCCAAUUGGCUUUUAAGAUGUGGGUUUGGCUCUCUAAUUGUCUUCCUUGUGAGGACAAAUCUUUGACAC